CGGACCGAGGGGUGCUGCGACGGGGCCGAAGCUCCGCCACGCUCGAUCCGCGAUGCCGAAGCAAGGGCGCCCUCCCGAU
rnacentral:ncRNA from 2 species